UGUCAUUAAUUUGAUUUAUAUUUUCCCAGUCUGCUUGACAGAUGGAUGCAACAAUAAUUUCAUUGUUUUUUUGUUGUAAGGGAUAAAUAUCAUUGUAUUUCAUCAAGUAGUAAAUAUUUGCGAUUACUGGGUUAGGAAAUGGAUAUCGGGUUUUAUUUUAAAGAGCUUCUCAAAUAUACUGAUCAUAUAUAGAAUACAAUGAAUGUACACUUACUUCAAAGAAUUCGUAAAAUGAUUGUUCCAUGUCUCUGUGAAGCUAAUGGAGGAGCAGAUAACGCGCUCAAAUUAAAAUUGGAAAUUAGUUUGGAAGCCACUGGAAACAACAAAUUAUCUGGAGUGGCGUCCCUCCUAGAUUUGGUUUGCUCAUCAUACCGGUAGACUUUAGAACGCUACUUUCUACAAUUGGUGAAGAUUAUCCAAGGAAUGAGAGAGAAUUAAAGUUCAGUUUGGUCAUACUGAAACAAGUAAUGUCUACAUGGGUGUGGUCUUAUACUCUUGAUUUGCUGGUUUGUCUUCACCUUGCAACAUUAUGCAGUCCAUUUUCAACCGACGAGCGAGAGCAACUGGAGAUUUAUUCGAGUUCCACUGAAAUAACAAAUUUUCUGCUAUGGUAUUCAUCCUGGAUUUGGUUUGCUUUUCACACAUGUAAACUUACAGUCUACAGUAAAUUAAGGGCGACGCUGGACAAGACAAAGAAGAACCCGUAGUUAAAAUAGUUCUUUUAUCUUGUAUGCUCUUAUCCAGUGUAGAAUUCAUUAAGUUGAUCUUAUUCAAAUUAAUUUUUUAUUUUGCAUGUUUUUUUGUAGUUAAUUUGAAUUAGU